AACGAACGCUGGCGGCAUGCCUAACACAUGCAAGUCGAACGAGACCUUCGGGUCUAGUGGCGCACGGGUGCGUAACGCGUGGGAACCUGCCCUUAGGUUCGGAAUAACUCCCCGAAAGGGGUGCUAAUACCGGAUAAUGUCUUCGGACCAAAGAUUUAUCGCAUUUGGAUGGGCCCGCGUUGUAUUAGCUAGUUGGUAGGGUAAAAGCCUACCAAGGCGACGAUCCAUAGCUGGUCUGAGAGGAUGAUCAGCCACACUGGGACGGAGACACGGCCCAGAAUACUAGGGGAGGCAGCAGUGGGUAAUAUUGGACUAUGGGCGAAAGGCUGAUCCAGCAAUGCCGCGUGAGUGAUGAAGGCCUUAGGGUUGUAAAGCUCUUUUACCCGGGACGAUAAUGACAGUACCGGGAGAAUAAGCUCCGGCUAACUCCGUG
rnacentral:rRNA from 1 species